rnacentral:lncRNA from 10 species
GAAAGAAUAAGAAGCCAGAGGGAGGCGGCUGCCUGCAGGAGGUUUAGCAUAAAGGAAAUAGGAAUGAGCUUCCUGCCUCCUGCCCAGCCCCUGCUGUCAGAGAUACUUGGUGCUUCCAGUUCUGGAGACUUCCUUGAGUUCUGUGACUCAAAACAACUUCCUUCCCCUGUGGGCAUCAACAAUGAGAGAUCUUCAGAUGCGAUCAGGCACUCCAGUCCUUCCAUCUCCCACAAUGUUGGAGACCUGUGUUCCCUGCUGUAGAAACCUCUGCCAUUCCCUUUAUCUCUGAAGACAGAUGGACUUGACUGUCAGCUUAGCUUGGUUUCAGGAGGAAAGGAAGAUAAACCCCUGUGUUUAAGCUGCCGUGUUAAAUGGGAGGCACCUGGUCUUUUUUCUUUUUCUUUUUUAAAGACUGGGUCUCGCUCUGUUAUCCAAGCUGCAGUGCAGUGAUGUGAUCAUAGCUCACCUCAGCCUUGAACUCUCAGGCUCAAGCGAUCCUCCAGCCUCAGCCUCCUGAAUUGCUGGGAUUAUAGCACCUGGCCAAUUUUAAAAUCUUUCUGUAGCGACAGGAUCUCACUAUGUUGCCCAGGCUGGUCUUGAACCCCUGGCCUCAAGGAAUUC